AGAGGGGAAAGGUAGAACUCAACUCAAAGACAGGACAGAGAGAGAGAUACCAAGUGAAGACAUCUGAAGAUCUCAGAAGAAGUGAAGCUACAAGUGAAGAUUUCAGAAGGACACUAUCACCAUGGCAAUGUUGACCAUUCUUCUGCUUCUCAGUGCUGCCUUUGCACUGGGCAAUGCCUUAACUCUGGACGAAGCAAAUUCUAUGGUGGCAUUUGCAGCAGAUAAAAAAAGCCCCUGCCCCAAAGGCUGGUUCCAGUUUAAUUCACGUUGCUUCAUGUUUGUCGAGACUAAAAGGACAUGGCCCGAAGCAGAGCGCCACUGUAUGUUCCUUGGAGCAAACCUGGUGUCUGUGCAGAACACUGUAAAGUUCCUUGGAGCAAACCUGGCGUCUGCGCACAGCUCUGAGGAGUCCCAAUUUCUACAGGCGGUGGUGUUAAUCAAGACUGACU